AGAGUUUGAUCAUGGCUCAGGACGAACGCUGGCGGCGUGCUUAACACAUGCAAGUCGAACGAUGAAGCCCAGCUUGCUGGGUGGAUUAGUGGCGAACGGGUGAGUAACACGUGGGUGAUCUGCCCUGCACUUCGGGAUAAGCCUGGGAAACUGGGUCUAAUACCGGAUAUGACCAAGGACUGCAUGGUUUUUGGUGGAAAGGUUUACUGGUGCAGGAUGAGCCCGCGGCCUAUCAGCUUGUUGGUGGGGUAAUGGCCUACCAAGGCGACGACGGGUAGCCGGCCUGAGAGGGCGACCGGCCACACUGGGACUGAGACACGGCCCAGACUCCUACGGGAGGCAGCAGUGGGGAAUAUUGCACAAUGGGCGAAAGCCUGAUGCAGCGACGCCGCGUGAGGGAUGACGGCCUUCGGGUUGUAAACCUCUUUCAGCAGGGACGAAGCGCAAGUGACGGUACCUGCAGAAGAAGCACCGGCCAACUACGUGCCAGCAGCCGCGGUAAUACGUAGGGUGCGAGCGUUGUCCGGAAUUACUGGGCGUAAAGAGCUCGUAGGCGGUUUGUCGCGUCGUCUGUGAAAACCCGCAGCUCAACUGCGGGCUUGCAGGCGAUACGGGCAGACUUGAGUACUGCAGGGGAGACUGGAAUUCCUGGUGUAGCGGUGAAAUGCGCAGAUAUCAGGAGGAACACCGGUGGCGAAGGCGGGUCUCUGGGCAGUAACUGACGCUGAGGAGCGAAAGCGUGGGUAGCGAACAGGAUUAGAUACCCUGGUAGUCCACGCCCUAAACGAUGUCAACUAGUU
rnacentral:rRNA from 1 species